ACGAACGCCGGCGGCAGGCCUAAUACAUGCAAGUCGAACGGCUCUUCGGAGCAGUGGCGGACGGGUGAGUAACGCGUGGGAAUGUGCCCUUAGGUACGGAACAACACAGGGAAACUUGUGCUAAUACCGUAUGUGCCCUUCGGGGGAAGGAUUUAUUGCCUUUGGAGCAGCCCGCGUUGGAUUAGCUAGUUGGUGAGGUAAAGGCUCGCCAAGGCUACGAUCCAUAGCUGGUCUGAGAGGAUGAUCAGCCACACUGGGACUGAGACACGGCCCAGACUCCUACGGGAGGCAGCAGUAGGGAAUCUUGCGCAAUGGGCGAAAGCCUGACGCAGCCAUGCCGCGUGAAUGAUGAAGGUCUUAGGAUUGUAAAAUUCUUUCACCGGGGAAGAUAAUGACGGUACCCGGAGAAGAAGCCCCGGCUAGCUUCGUGCCAGCCGCCGCCGUAAAAC
rnacentral:rRNA from 1 species